UUAAAAUGCUAAAAGAAGAAGAAACAGUGGACAGCAAGAAUACACACAUUCAUGUUUGCUUAUAUAUGGGUAAAGAAACUCAGGAAAGUUACAGGAGGAGCUAAUAACAGUGGUUAAUUACAAUGGUAGAGGAGAGGCUUGGCAGAUAAGGGACUCGUUUGCAGAUAUGACUUUCCUUUGUGUACAUUUCUAUAUAUUAUUUUACUUCUUCUGAAAAUGCCACAUAAUUUGCAAUAAAUGAUUCACUCCUUAGCUCCAAAAGCAAGUCCUUUAUCAAAAUGCAAAUGUUCCAGAGGGAUGUAGCCAGAUUCUGUGGACCGCCGUCUUUUUCACCCUUAAGAAUCCGUCGCUAUGAUUUCUCUUCCUCUGCUUGGAGACCUUUAGAGAGCCAGCCUGCAGCUGCUCAGAGCAUUGACUACUAAACAGCUCACAGUUGCUAUUGCUGAAAAUGCCCGGUGGUUAUGCCUUGCCUGACCAGGGGUAGCCCACAGCUGAUGACAGGCCCCCUUGCCUCAAGGUGGGACAACUUCGGUGGUGCCAUUCAUAUCCAGAGCUGCCUGGAAUCAGGCCGAGGCUGGACAUCAGCCGACCCCGCAUCUUUGCUGAGUUUAUUCCUCUGCUGUACUUCCCUCGCUUCCCUCACCUCCUUCUUGGUUUCUCCUGAGAGCCUCCCUCAAUAAAUCACUUACCCCAGAAUCCUUGUCUCAGACUCCGCUUCUAGGACCCAACUUAAGACAUUCACAAAAUAAAUCACAUUGAUGGAAAACAGAUCCCAUUCUCCAAAAUGAAUAACCAGUAGGCACUUGUGACUAGCACAAGCAUCAGCAUAUCCACAUGGUGCUAAACUAACACCAACCCAAAGCAGAUAGUGCUGGGUGGACUCGGUACAAGUUAAUAGCUCAUGGGUCUCCAUCCCCAACACCUUCAGACCCAAGGCUCCAGGGCUGCCAGCCUGAGAACCCUAAGUCAUGAUUUUGGGCACUUUGGCUGGAUUUCCUAGCAACUGGCUGAGAGCAGGACAGGUAAACAGAGUUGGGAGGAGGAAGCAAAAAAGGCUAGAGUGGACAUCAGUUGACUUUGCCUGCCAUGGUAGAGACUUUCAGUCAUCCACCAUAAUCCAUCCCCAUUCUGCUGCACAGAAGUAUUGUGGCUGAGACACCUGCUUUUCUCCACCCCUCUAGUUAAUGUGACUAAAUUCUCCCUAUGGAAUGGGAAUGGAAGGGCCAUACCCAGGCCAGUGUCUUCAGGUAGGGGCUGUGACCCUUCCACACCUGUACCAGACACAAUCAUCAUCUCACUGGGUUUUGCCAGCUUUCAGGUCUAUGUGCUGAAAGCUGCUUACAGCUAACCUCUGCAGAUUUUCCUGGCACAGGAGGCAUGCUUGGCCAGUGCACAGGGCAAGUUGGAAGGGCCCUAAUGUCAGCAGCCUUCAACCAAUGAUGGAUGGAAAGUUGCAGACAGUGUCCUAUGCAUCUGCAGUGGGAUAACUCUGAGACGUGUGCUGUACUGCCUCCUAGAGGGCCCAGGGUGAUUAAGCACCAGUUACCCACAGCAGUAACUUCCUUGAUUCUGUUCCCCACAUGGGCACUUUUCUUCCUGUCACACCUCCCCAAUCCCCUGCAGAUACUUUCUGGGAUUGCUUCCUAAACAAUCCACUUGAACUUUUUUUUUUUUUCUUUUUUUUGACAUGGAGUAUUGCUCUUGUUGCCCAGGUUGGAGUGCAAUGGCACGAUCUUGGCUCACUGCAACUUCCGCUUCCUGGGUUCAAGCAAUUCUCCUGCCUCAGCCUCCUGAGUAGCUGGGAUUACAGGCGCCUGCCAUCACGCCUGGCUAAUUUUUGUAUUUUCAGUAGAGACGGGGUUUCGCCAUGUUGGCCACGCUGGUCUCAAACUCCUGACCUCGUGAUCUGCCCGCCUCGGCCUCCCAAAGUGCUGGGAUUACCGGCGUGAGCCACCGUGCCCAGCCCCACUUGAACUUUAAUCCUUGCCUCGGAAUUGGCUUCUGGGGAAACCAAAAAUAUAUUAAAAAAAGAGAGACCAGGACCUUAAAAAGAGCCCAAGUUGUUGAGCUCCCUGCCAAGUCACCCCCAGGUAUCUCUGCCCACCAGCUUGCAUGAGCCAGAUCCUCAGUGCAGGUUUUUCCAAUCAGUCAUUUGUUCUUCCACCCAACGCUCAAGAUUUGCUUCUUCAAGACAACUCUCUGAUCAGCUGAGACCCAUAGACACCCAGCUUCUACCACACAUAUGAUGGCAUUAUCCUAGGGCAUGGCAGAGCAACGCAAGGGAAAACUCUGGGCCCCCAAGUGAUGUCAUGGAGGAGAACUCUCAACCCAGAACUACUACGUGAGAAACAACGCUCUCUCUUCUUUAAGCCAUAGGUGUGUUGGGAAUCUUUGUUACAGCAGCACGCCUGAUCUUUUGUUUUGUUUUGUUUUGUUUUAGAGAUGGAGUCUUGCUCUUUCGCCAGGCUGGAGUGCAGUGGUGCGAUCUUGGCUCACCAUGUUGGUCAGGCUGGUUUCAAAUCCCUGACCUCAAGUGAUCCUCCCACCUUGGCCUCCCAAAGUGCUGGGAUUACAGGUGUGAGCCACCGCACCCGGCCCAGCCAUGCCUUGUCUUAACUAGCAUAGCCGCCCAACGUCCACUUCUUUUGGCCAUGUUGUCCUGAUUCUGCUGGAGAAUCCCUUUCCCACUGCUCCCAGACCAGUGGUGUAGCUGACCUGCGCUCUCUCCACUCAAUUCAGGGGAGGGAGGGGUUUAGGCCUGGGCUAAGAGAGCUGCACAUUUCCCAGGGCACAGUGAUUAGUUGAGGGUGGGUCCCAGAGCCAAAUCUGCCCAAGAUCUUAGCCUGAAAGAGAAACCCUCCUGCUGAGUGACUGCACUGUGAGGCAGAAGUCCAGAGCUGUGGGUGGCCAUCCAGCCUCCAUUUGCGCCUGCCUGAGAAAGAAGCCACCAUGGGGGAAAUCGAGCUAAAAGACGGAGAGGGAGGUAAGAGAGGAUGACAUCACAUAAGCACCAGAUCUGGCCACCCCUGAAACUGGAACAACCCUAAGCUUUACAGCUACUACAUUCCCUUUUCUGCUGAAGUUGUUUUACACUGGGUUUCUGUCUCUUGCAACCAAGAGCUCUGUUAAAUAAAAACCUGACCCUAAGGAGAACGUUAGCUGGUUCACAAUUCCCUGUGCAAAACAGGCACAGGUCAGCUGCCCCAGCCUGUCGUUUGGAUAUUCCUUUCUAAGAACGCUCACUUUUGUUGUCUACAUGACCCAGAUAACCAAGGAGAAAGCAAAUCAACCGCCUUCCAGCGGCGCCUUCCUUGGCAGCAAGUGCUAAGAGAGAACACAAUGUGAGUACUCUGCCCUCUGGAGUCAGGGUUGAUCCUCAGCACUUGCUGUCCUGGGAGGCUGCACCUGUGACACUUGAGUGCCAGGUUCAACCCCUACUGCUGCUGCUGCUGCCUGAAUGGGGCCAUUUAGACUGUUGAGUGCUACAGCCUCAGCCCAGGAACCCGGAGCUUCACAUGAGGCAGAGCAGGGCCCCAGGGUCCCUGAAACUUGCCAGUUCAAACAGCAGAGGGGUGAGGACUCCCCAGUCAGCCCUGGUCUCAUACCUGCCUCUGCAUGGUCCCAGUCCAGCCUGAGGCCUUUGCUUUCUUUUUUGAAGGGAAGGUGAGGAGAGAGGGGGAAAAUAGAGGUGUUCUGACUAGACUUAGGAUUCCUGGCCUCUGCCUCUGACCGCCAGAGGACAGCCUCUGCAGUUGCCUCAUCUACUCAUGAAAACAGGCCUGUGACCCCAGGGGUGCUCUGAGGAUUCUUCCAGAAAACAUCUGCCCAGCUAGGACUACCUAGCUCACUGCCCAAAAAGGGUUCAUUUCCUUUCCUUCUGAAACAAAAGCGCUUAAUUGGAAGAGAAGCAUUGACUCAAGCUAUAGGAUAUGCCACUUAAAAUGUCCAGAUCUUGGCACAAGGCCUGGCGCACAGUGUGGGAGAGAAGGAGAGAAGAAGGUGGAAGGAAAGGAGGGAGGGGAAAGAGGAAGCAGGGAGGGAGAAAAUAAGACAAGGGCCUCCUCAUCUGGAUGCUUCCCUAGACCAAGAAGUGGCCCAGGUGGUGCCCAGGGGACAGGGAGUGGGCAAUAAAAGACAAUGGGGUGUAGGUGAUAGGGUGUAGAUGAUCAGGGUAUAGGUGAUCAGGAUGUAGGUGAUGGGGUGUAGAUGACUGGGGUAUAGAUGAUUGAAGUGUAGGUGAUGGGGUAUAGAUGAUCGAGGUGUAGGUGAUGGGGUAUAGAUGAUUGAGGUGUAGGUGAUGGGGGUCAAGGUGAUCAAGGUGUUGGUGAUGGGGUGUUGGUGAUCGGGGUGUAAGUGAUGAGGUAUAGGUGGUGGGGUGUAGAUGAUUGGGGUGUAGGUGAUGGGGUGUAGGUGACGGGUAUAGGUGAUGGGGUAUAGAUGAUCAGGGUGUAGGUGAUUGGGGUAUAGGUGAGCAGGGUGUAAGUGAAGGGGUAUAGGUGGUGGGGUAUAGAUGAUCAGGUGUAGGUGACUGGGGUUUGGGUGAUGGGGUGUAGGUGAUGGGGUAUAGAUGAUUGAGGUAUCGGUGAUGGGGGUCAAGGUGAUCAAGGUGUAGGUGAUGGGGUGUUGGUGAUUGGGGUGUAGGUGAUCAGGGUGUAAGUGAUGAGGUAUAGGUGAUGCAGUGUAGGUGAUCAGGGUAUAGGUGAUGAGGUGUAGGUGAUGGAGUGUAGAUGAUUGAGGUGUAGGUGAUGGGGUAUAGGUGAUUGGGGUGUAGGCAAUGGGGUGUAGGUGAUCGGGGUCAAGGUGAUAGAGGUGUAGGUGAUGGGGUGUUGGUGAUUGGGGUGUAGGUGAUCAGGGUGUAGGUGAUCAGGGUGUAGGUGAUCCGAACUUCCUACUCAAUUCAGGCAACAGCUCCCAGCCUGAGGCAAAUACCCCCCGAGGCAGUCAGGGUCUCACCUCCCAUGGCUCUGACGCAGGCCUCCAAGGUGAGGAGAUGGAGGUAGCAGAGGUCACUUCACUCAGCUGUCACACACCCUGAGGGAACUCCUGUCACUGUUAUCCCACCUGCAAGUGAGGAGCCAGCAUUUCUCAUGCUCCAGGGUUGGCCACAGAGCCCAUUCAAGGGAGGGAGAAGAGCCUUCGGCCAGCGCAUCCUAACCGCAGAAAGCCAAGACCUCUGCAGAAAAAGAGACCAGGCCCAUAAAAAGAGAUCCAUGAGUUGAGUUCCCUGCCAUGCCACCCCCAGGCAUCUCUGCCCACCAGCCUGCAUGAGCCAGCCCCUCAGUGCAGGUUUUUCCAAUUGGCCGUUUGUUCUUCCACCCAACACUCAAGAUUUGCUUCUCAGCCUGGACAACAUAGCAAAACCCCAUCUCUACAAAAAAUACAAAAAUUAGCUGGGCAUAGUGGCACACACCUAUAGUCCCAGCUACUCGGGAGGCUGAAGUGGGAAGAUUACCUGAGCCUGGGAGGUCAAGGUUGCAGUGAGCCAUGAUCAUGCCACUGUACUCCAGCCUGGGUGACAGAGUGAGAACUUGUCUCAAAAACAAAAAAAGAGAGGAAGAUCUGCUUCUUCAAACCCACACAACUAAUAUAAAGUAAUCAACCUCCCCACCUCAAUAACCUGAAGUUAAACAUCACACAAUAAGCCCUGAACAGAGAGCUGUAGGUCAAUGUUCCAUUUUGCUUUUAAAAGCUUCACAAGAACAUUUCAUUUAUUAAAAUAGUUUCUGUAAACUCUUUCAGAAUAACAAAAUUCACUUGCCUUGCUUAAACAGCAUUUCAAGUAGAAGUAUUUUUAUUUCAAGGCACCAUAAAAUGAUGAUCUCUCUAAGAAAUACCUCUCCUUC
rnacentral:lncRNA from 1 species